rnacentral:rRNA from 1 species
UCCAGACUCCUACGGGAGGCAGCAGUGGGGAAUAUUGCACAAUGGGGGAAACCCUGAUGCAGCGACGCCGCGUGAGUGAAGAAGUAUUUCGGUAUGUAAAGCUCUAUCAGCAGGGAAGAAAAUGACGGUACCUGAUUAAGAAGCCCCGGCUAACUACGUGCCAGCAGCCGCGGUAUACGUAGGGGGCAAGCGUUAUCCGGAUUUACUGGGUGUAAAGGGAGCGUAGACGGCAGCACAAGUCUGGAGUGAAAUGCCGGGGCUUAACCCCGGAACUGCAUUGGAAACUGUUUAUCUAGAGUGUCGGAGAGGCAAGUGGAAUUCCUAGUGUAGCGGUGAAAUGCGUAGAUAUUAGGAGGAACACCAGUGGCGAAGGCGGCUUGCUGGACGAUGACUGACGUUGAGGCUCGAAAGCGUGGGGAGCAAACAGGAUUAGAUACCCCGGUA